AGAGCGGGAGCCCGGAGAUGGGCACUGAGACAAGGGCCCAGGCCCUACGGGGCGCAGCAGUCGCGAAAACUUUGCAAUACACGAAAGUGUGACAGGGCUAUCCCGAGUGCCAUCCGCUGAGGAAGGCUUUUACCCAGUCUAGAACGCUGGGGGAAUAAGGAGAGGGCAAGUCUGGUGUCAGCCGCCGCGGUAAUACCAGCUCUCCGAGUGGUGUGGAUGUUUAUUGGGCCUAAAGCAUCCGUAGCUGGCUAAGUUAGUCCCUUGUUAAAUCCACCGAAUUAAUCGUUGGAUCGCGGGGGAUACUGCUUGGCUAGGGGACGAGAGAGGCAGACGGUAUUUUCGGGGUAGGGGUGAAAUCCUAUAAUCCCGGGAAGACCACCAGUGGCGAAGGCUGUCUGCU
rnacentral:rRNA from 1 species